AGAGUUUGAUCAUGGCUCAGGAUGAACGCUAGCUACAGGCUUAACACAUGCAAGUCGAGGGGCAGCGGGGAUUGAAGCUUGCUUCAAUUGCCGGCGACCGGCGCACGGGUGAGUAACGCGUAUCCAACCUUCCGUACACUCAGGGAUAGCCUUUCGAAAGAAAGAUUAAUACCUGAUGGUAUGAUGAAAUUGCAUGAUAGCAUCAUUAAAGAUUUAUCGGUGUACGAUGGGGAUGCGUUCCAUUAGGUAGUAGGCGGGGUAACGGCCCACCUAGCCUACGAUGGAUAGGGGUUCUGAGAGGAACGGUCCCCCACAUUGGAACUGAGACACGGUCCAAACUCCUACGGGAGCA
rnacentral:rRNA from 1 species